AUGUUCGGGUAAUCGCUGCAUGACAAAAGUCUGCAGAGGAAAGUCCAUGCUCGCACAAGCUGAGAUGCUUGUAGUGUUUGUGCCUGACGAAAACAUAAGUCAGGGUAGCCACAGGGCUAACGGCAGGGAAAAUACCUAAGUUCACUUGAAUAGGGUAUGAUUACCUUUAAAGUGCCACAGGGACGAAUUUAACUAGAAAUAGUUGAAGUGGAACGCGGUAAACCCCGCAAGCGAGCAACCCAAAUGAUGGUAGGGGCACUCUCCAGGAGGGAAAUGAACCAAGGGAGGGACAAGCAAUUAAGAUUGCUUGUAGAUAGAUGAUUACCACCGGAGUACAAGACUUUGACAGUCGUUAUGAGUACAAAGGGACAAAACAUGGCUUACAGAA
rnacentral:RNase_P_RNA from 1 species